UUACUUCCAACAGGGGUCUAUUCGUCAGUCAAAACAUUAAUCUUGAAGGAGCAAAGGUUUGUUCAUGAGCUGUCAUGCUCGCUAGGCGAAGCCCACGUGUUUGGGAAAGACUUGAGUUACUUCCAACAGGGGUCUAUUCGUCAGUCAAAACAUUAAUCUUGAAGGAGCAAAGGUUUGUUCAUGAGCUGUCAUGCUCGCUAGGCG
rnacentral:lncRNA from 1 species